GAUCAAUGAUGAAACCUAUCCCGAAGCUGACUACCUGAAGAAAAGCAUGUACGGGUUUGGCUUCUGAGAU
rfam:Ailuropoda melanoleuca scaffold4009_2, whole genome shotgun sequence.